AGUGGCAGAGUGAGGGAGGGAAGGGGUGACUAGUGACAGAGUGAGGGGAUGACUGGUGACAGAGUGAGGGGGGGGGUGACUGUCACCAGUCACCCCAUCCCUCUCUCUGUCACUAGUUACUCCCUCCCUAACUCUGUCACUGUGUCACCCACUCCCUCACUCUGUCACUAGUCACCCCCUUACUCUGUCACUGUGUUACCCCCUCCCUCACUCUGUCACU